UACGUAGGGGGCUAGCGUUGUCCGGAAUCAUUGGGCGUAAAGAGCGUGUAGGCGGUCCGGUAAGUCCGUUGUGAAAGUCAAGGGCUCAACCCUUGAAUGCCGGCGGAUACUGUCGGGCUAGAGUCCGGAAGAGGCGAGUGGAAUUCCCGGUGUAGCGGUGAAAUGCGCAGAUAUCGGGAGGAACACCUAUGGCGAAGGCAGCUCGCUGGGACGGCACUGACGCUGAGACGCGAAAGCGUGGGGAGCAAACGGG
rnacentral:rRNA from 1 species